UACGGGGGGGGCAAGCGUUGUUCGGAAUUACUGGGCGUAAAGGGCUCGUAGGCGGCCAACUAAGUCAUGCGUGAAAUCCCUCGGCUUAACCGGGGAACUGCGUCUGAUACUGGAUGGCUUGAGUUCGGGAGAGGGAUGCGGAAUUCCAGGUGUAGCGGUGAAAUGCGUAGAUAUCUGGAGGAAUACCGGUGGCGAAGGCGGCAUCCUGGACCGGCAUUGACGCUGAGGAGCGAAAGCUAGGGGAGCAAACGGG
rnacentral:rRNA from 1 species